AAGAAGUAACACAGAGGGGCUCUAGAUACCCCUCAUCAAGAUUUCUCCAGUGGUAACAACUUGCAUAACUAUAGUUCAAUAUCACAAUAGGAAAUUGAGUUUGGUACAAUCCAUUGACAUUGUUCAGAUUUCAUCAGUCUUAUAUACACUUGCUAGUGUGUGUGCAUUUUGUUCUAUGCAAUUUUAUCUCAUGUAUACACUUGUGUGACCACCACCAAGUUACAGAACAGUUGUAUUAUAAGAAUACUUCCUAUUACUUUUUUUAGAACUUCAUCUUCCCUAAUCCCUGGCAACCACUAAUCUUUACAACCUUAUAAUUUUGUUAUUUGAACAAUAUUGAGCCACCACGCCUAGCCCUGUCUCUUUCUUCC
rnacentral:lncRNA from 1 species